GGUUCAAUCGGAAUGUAGAAGGCACUCACAACUCUUUAUCAAAUUUCAUUUUUUUUCUCCUUCUCGGUCUCGUAGUAGUAUGUAUCUAUGAUAAUACUGAUCAUAUUUUAAGAGAAUGAAAAGACGAAGAAAAGUGAUUAAGUAUGUGAAGAGGAUAAGGAGAGAAGACAAAAAAGAGGUAUUGGGAAAAGUAAUUUUAACUUUUUUCUUGAAAUUAAUUUUCAAAUAGUAUAACUAGUUUUCGUUGUUACUUCCAGUAAUAUGCAAAGAAUCAACAAAAUAAUUGUUCAAGAUAAGAAAAAAAUUAAAUUAAACUGUUAUAACAAAUUUGUCAUGCGUUUUUAACUUUUCAGAGCUACACCCUUUUUAGACUAGAAACUUCAUGUUGAGAAAAUCGAUUACAAAAUGAAGUUAAUUGCGUGUUGUAAUGCCAAGCAACCAUUGUUAAUAUUUAAUAGUUUUGAAAAUAUUUAUUUGAUCAUUCAAUAGAUCGACUGAAGAACCCAAUAUUCACGUUCAUCAAUUAAUCAAUUGUUUCCAAAAAUACUUUAAAUUUGUACAAUUACGUUUUGAAUCUUCGUAGUUUUUGAUAACUGUACACUUAUAGAUUUUAAACAAAAAUAGAACGUUUAAAAUAUUGCCGAAAAUGUGAAGAAGGUAGGAAUCAAAAUUCCAACAAUGUCCCCUCUACAACAGAUUAUUUCAGAUUACUACAGAAGAAAUAUGUAAAUUCAAUAAAAAAUGAUGACAAUAACCACUAAGAACUACGAUGAAAAGUUGUGUCUAAUCCAAGAAUUGUGACCAUUGUGAUUUUUUGAAGAAUGGGAAUGGGAAAACAGUUUCUGUGAGAGGAAUAAUAGGUGAAAUUUUUUUUUAAUUCUAAAAUUAAUAAAACUGAGCGUGAAUGAAAUCAUUUGAUUUUUUACAUCGUUCUUAUCUGAAAAUUACACAGAGAUACAAAAUGUUUGUACAACAACUCUUUGAAAAAAUAUUCAAACACCAAGCUUUGCAUCUUAGCGGUAAACACCAUCUACUUGUAAGACAAUCCAAGUUCAAAACCAUCAACCUACAAAAAGGGAGGUAAAAUGCCAAAAAUAUCGAGAAUUCAGUCAGCAACUGGACAUAUAUAACAUAAGAGAUAAUAAUCAUUAGUUGAAGAAGAAGAAACAAAAAAAAAGACAAGAGAUUUACACUCGAAAUAGUUCAUAGGCGUCAGUGGUUGAAGAUGGAGGGUUACAAAAGAUGAUAUACACUUCUAGAGACAAUGAUUUUUUAGAAUUAUUUGAUACGUUUUGACAAAUGUUUGACAGGAUGAACAUACCUGUUAUGCUAGUCACUAAUGAAGUUAGUAUGAAAAAGGAAAAUCCAAUGUUCUGAACACAUGUUAUUGGGGUUGACAUUGAUAACAAAUUAGUAAACGACUGGGAAACACGUGUGAGAAAAUGUUUAGGUUUAGGCUAUUUAGGGUUAAAAAACUGCGAGGUCAAAAUCUUCCAAGCCUAUUCAGUUUUUUCCACCCACUUCUUGCUAAAUUUUUGCCCAAGAAAAUUGACUUGAAAGCAAUCAUUAAAUUUUGCACUCUGGCACAACGCCAGCAUCUUUUUAUACAAAUUUUUAGUCAUCAUGAAUUGUUUCCGCAUCUCUGCAUUUCUUACAGUAAUCCAGUUAUUUUGUCCACCUCCCACAAAACGAACCUUAUCUUUGGAAUGAAUCUUUUUAGUAGCCUUACCUGAAUUUGUACAACUUUUUUCUCUUUCUUCUCAAAGUUUCCUUUUUCAGCAUCGCCGCUUCUCUCCUUCAUUUCAAUUUUCUCAAAACCACUGCCAUCUUCCAAACUUCCCAAGUUUUGGUUAUUCUGAAACAAUAGUAUGUGGAAGGUUGGAACAAAUUCUUUAGAACUUCAAAUAUCACCAAUUUUCAAAUUUCUCAUUUUAAUAGGGUUUCAUGUAAAAUAAAGAGUUUUAAAACCUG
ensembl:antisense_RNA anr-51 ncRNA